CCCUUAGAUGUUCUGGGCCGCACGCGCGCUACACUGAUGCAUUCAACGAGUCUAAAACCUGCUCUGAUAGGGGUGGGUAAUCUUUUGAAUGUGCAUCGUGAUUGGGAUAGAUGAUUGCAAUUUUUCAUCUUCAACGAGGAAUGCCUAGUAAACGCAAGUCAUCAGCUUGCAUUGAUUACGUCCCUGCCCUUUGUACACACCGCCCGUCGCUCCUACCGAUUGUAUGAUCCGAUGAAUAUCAUGGAUUGAGGAUGCAAGUAGGUUCGCCUAUCUUCAUCUUCGAGAAGUGAAGUAAAUCUUAUCAUUUAGAGGAAGGAGAAGUCGUAACA
rnacentral:rRNA from 1 species